rnacentral:lncRNA from 1 species
UCCUUGCUGCUGAUGAGCUGAGAAAUAUUUUGCCGCCUAAUGAUCCACUUCUCAAGAGAUGCGUCGACCCUAUGGAUGCUUUGGUGCGAUCAACUAUAAGCCGGGGAAGGACUUCUCAGAAAGCUGUAUAUCACAAGAAAAACUAAUGUAAAAAUCAAGAAAUCAAGAUUCACGAACGAUAAGUAGCAUUGCCUAUGUUCAGAUCACCUGCACCUCUUCCUGUGUUUCGUUGUCUGAUGACCCGAAGAAACAACACAAUUGCGCAGAUAAUGAACGUCUGUCAAUAUAGAUUAGCAUCUCUUCUUGUUUAAGAAUCCCCCUGUUAUAUAAAUGUAAUAUAUAUUGGCACAAUAACUUAUCCAGGCUAAUGAAUACUCAUUAUAACAUAUCUACCUAAAUAAAACUGAUAACUGGUGUUUAUUAAAUUGAAUGCUUGUUCUAGACAUUUUAAAAUAGUUAUUAAUAUUAGGUCUGCAUUCAAGUGAAAUUACAAGUCCAAAGCAGUGACAGUAUGUUACCUCAACUGGAGCCUAGUUAUAACAUAAGUGAUGUAGAUGUCAAUUAUUAAGUUAAACAUCCUUCAUCUAAUAUCUUUCAGUUUUUUUUGUGCCUCUUAAAAUUUUAAUGGAAGUGAUAUGUUUUGGUGUGGACUAGGUCACAAGUCCCGCUAAUCAGUGGAAACUUAUAAACAUCACAAAUCCCUAAUAGUUUUAUAUAGCAGCACUCAACUAUACAGAGAAUUACGAAGAAAUACUCAUUGUUCGUAGACACAAGAUCGAUAAGAGGGUAAAGAUACUAUGGUAAGAGGGCAAUGACGCCAUGGCACAAGGAGAAAUUACAAGAAUGGAUUCUUAAAGACUUAGGUUUAGGGUUUUACUAGUAUUUACGCCUGCCGAAAUCUUAGGCCCGCCAGUAGAUCUGUACAUUUUUUGGACCAGAGCGCGCGCGCACACACAUAUAU